AAGUCUGGUGCCAGCAGCCGCGGUAAUUCCAGCUCCAAUAGCGUAUAUUAAAAUUGUUGCGUCUAAAAAGCUCGUAGUUUGAAAACUUGCCUUGGCUUACAACAGGUUCCCAAUGGGGGCCGCCGUUUGUUGAGAGCAAAUAUCGAUGACUGUUUUUGCCGACUUCAUUGUCCGGCUUAUAAGAGUUAUCAAAUAUCACUUUGAUUAAAUUAGAGUGCUUAAAGCAAGUGUGUUACUUGGAUAUAAAUGCAUGGAAUGAUGGAAUAUGUUGUUGUUCUAUUUGUUGGUUUUUGAACGAUAAAAUGAUUGAAAGGAACUGUUGGGGGCAUUCGUAUUGUUGUGAGAGAGGUGAAAUUCUUAGACCACAGCAAGACGAACUACUGCGAAAGCAUUUGCCAAGAAUGUUUUCAUUGAUCAAGAACGAAAGUUAGAGGUUCGAAGGCGAUCAGAUACCGCCCUAGUUCUAACCAUAAACGAUG
rnacentral:rRNA from 1 species